UAGCCUCGACCUGCUAACACGGCUAACCAGUUAGCGCCGUAGCUCACACAAACAAACUAACCCCAAUUUUUUUUAUUGUACACAUUCAAUGUAUUCUUCGUUUUAUUUAUUAUAUCGGUAAUUUUUUUAAAUUAUUCCUUCCACCUUCUCCCCAAUUUUUUAGCGGUAUAGGAACGCUCCUGAUGCCGAUGUUUUGUUACUAGCUAGCUCAAUUGCUAUUAGCAGUUCCCGGCGUUCGUUCACAAAGACUUCCCUUAAUGUUUUCAUGGUUAAUAUCGUUUCCUAAAAUCAUUAUGAGUGGACAAUGGAUAAAAUAUUUUAAAUAGUUAAAUGUUAGGUAGAUGAUAUUAGCAACCAAAAAUGCAAAAAACAGAAAAAUAUAUAAUAUCGUUUAAGAAAUUCACAAAUAAACUAAAACAAAAGCUAAAAUGUCACCUAAAACAAUUACAAAGUAACCAUAGCUAGCAUUAAAAAACCCAAUACAGCUCGAAUCUGGCAAAGCUUAAAAAAUAAUUUAUAAACACCUUCCCUUAAAUUAGCUUAAAUCAGCACAAAUAGCUCAGAAAUCCCUUAAAUCUAUCGCAGCAUCAGUUCAGUUAAUAAACCUACGUUGUUAUAAUUGUUUCAUAGCUGACAAAUGUUAUUUUGUACUUAAAUCCUGUGGAGUGAACGGCCUCUGUCAUCAUUGGUAUCUAGAUGAUGUGACACAAAUUAUUAGUUCAAAUAUAACAACAAUGAUAAAAAAAGAAACUUGAAGUUACUAAAGCAGGAUUGUUAGCUACACGUCUGGACAAUGCCACCUUUUCAUGACUCCUCACAGCUCCUCCUCAACAGGAAUCUGGACACUGUACUCCAGAAUGAACACCUCAAUAUGUA